ensembl:lncRNA LOC102553576 uncharacterized LOC102553576
CACCUGCUCUAGCAUGGCUGGCCCACACACCUUGGGGAGUGGCUCAAAAACUUCUUCAGGGAGACUCUGCCCUAUCUAAACUGCUCUCUUUCAGAUCUGGCUCCCCUGAGCGCAGAUGGAAACUGUCUCUGAGGCCACGUCAACCAUGAAGAAACAGUCCCUGGAAUAUAGUAAAUCCUCGUAAAAUGCUCAGAAACACAGGACCAGUGGAUAAGAUCCUUCCAUCCCUGCUUUGCUCCGAUUCACUGCAAGUGGCCUCGAUUUGAUGUGCCUAACUUUGGGAAUCAUCGUGUAGACUUUGACUCUGAUCUCAGCCCUGACGCUGGAUGGCUGUGUGAUUCUAGGUGAGCUGGUGUGUCUCUGAGCCUCGUCGAUUUCGGUCAAAGAGAAGUCUUGAUUAACAUGGGCAGAAAGGAUGCCAACGGUGACUUUCAUCACUCCUGUUUGAUUCCUGUCUUCUUCACCCUUCAGAGCCAGCAAGAGUUUGCUGGCUUGGAUGUUCCUGGGUGGCGGAGUCCAUAGUCUGAGGGCAAGGAGGUCUUGGAAGCAGUUUUCCUGGGUAGAACCUAGUUUUCAGCUGAGACUCCCACCCUCAACACACAUCAAGCUGAAGAUGAGCCCUCUGCCUUUUUUCUAAUACGGAGUUGGAUGUCCCCAGACCAGUGCCGGGAAGGAGGAAGCUCCGGAUACUUGUGAAGGUGUGGGCUGUCCUUUUGCACACCCAUAGUCUCCUUUGACUUUGAAGUUCGGACUGUCACCAUUCCACUUUGGCUUCUGGAUCAAGAAAAUGGUCAAUGUGCUGCCAUGGUAAAGCUCCAGGGGACUUGGAAUCACUCCAGGAUAAUGACAUAUGCCACCCAUUGACAGCUCUGACACGGGCUUUGUUCAGUCACUUCAGACAGCUACUGUUUAAUGUCUUAUUCAGUUCUUCAACAACGCUGUGGACGAAGAAACGGUCCACAGCUGAUAGGCGGAGACACUGAGGUGCGGAGAAGCUAAGGGAUUUAUCCAGGACCUCUCAACCAGCCAUGCCGAACCUGCAGUGUGCACCUUGUUCCUUGGGACAUCAUGCUGCUGCUACAUUACUUGAAGUCGGGUCUUGAGGGAUAUGCACAGUCUGAAGUUCUCUCUUUGUGUACUAAUGAAAACACAGUGGGUACUCCAUUUCCUAGCAGGGCUAGCUCUGGGCUGCUUCAUACUUAAAAUCAUGAAAACUUGCUGAAAUUUAAAAAUCUAGAUCUUGGGCUGGGG